rnacentral:rRNA from 1 species
AAGCAGCGGAGCAUGUGGUUUAAUUCGAAGCAACGCGAAGAACCUUACCAGGGCUUGACAUCCCUCUGACCGGCCGGUAAUGCGGCCCUCCCUUCGGGGCAGAGGUGACAGGUGGUGCAUGGUUGUCGUCAGCUCGUGUCGUGAGAUGUUGGGUUAAGUCCCGCAACGAGCGCAACCCCUAUUGUUAGUUGCCAUCAUUCAGUUGGGCACUCUAGCGAGACUGCCGGUAAUAAACCGGAGGAAGUGGGAUGACGUCAAAUCAUCAUGCCCCUUAUGACCUGGGCUACACACGUGCUACAAUGGUUGGUACAACGAGUUGCGAGUCGGUGACGGCGAGCUAAUCUCUUAAAGCCAAUCUCAGUUCGGAUUGUAGGCUGCAACUCGCCUACAUGAAGUCGGAAUCGCUAGUAAUCGCGGAUCAGCACGCCGCGGUGAAUACGUUCCCGGGCCUU